AUGGCGUCAAGAAAUUCCAAAAUUGCCCUUCUCCGUGAAUGGGCUGAAGAUGAUGCUGAUGGCAUUGGACAUUAUCGGGCAUCUGUUGUCGGCAACCUUCCAGACUCCUACCAACAAUUCCAGUACAAGCUGUCCUCAAAGCUCGCCAAGGACCAUCCUGAACUCAGUGAGCAUCUAUGCGAGGAAAUUAUGCAGCGCCAGCUUGAAGCAGCACAGCAUCAGGUCGUCACAUGCAUGGCUCCUUGGAUAGAAAAUCUCAACUUUGUGAGAUUAAAGGAGCGAGAGACUGCUGAAAAGUCUUUAUUACGUGACAUGGAAGCAUGGAAUGUCAGCGGAAACUUGAGCUGGCGGACAUCUAUCGACAGUCACUGGACGAAGUGUGUCUGGCCCAUUGAGUCCAUUGGCCCCGGAGGUGACCAACAUCCCAAACCCCACUACAGGCCGGUCAGGCCAGCUCCUUCCAGUGUUAAUGAACAUGUCAGGGCCGUUGAUGGGUGUCCGAAGCUCGGCUGGUCAUCUGAUCUGAGGAGCCGUCAUGUUUCCAGGGAUAGUGGUGACUACUAUUUUGACACCCCAAAUUCAAACGAUGAAUUUCUGCAUCAAGGGGGCAGUGGAAUUCAUGGGAUUAAUGCUAAUGAGCUCCAAUCUUGCAUUACAGGGGCACCAGCACUUGCUUUUUCACGUGCCGACAUAGCUUUGAUUCCCCUUGCUGAAAUUUCUUAUGAAAAUGACGAGGACUUGCGUGAAAAUUUGCCUCUGUUAUUCCAUGUCACGUGUGUUUCAAUGGAUAGCUCGGAAGACAUUGUGCUUGAGCAUUGCCAGGAUUAA
rnacentral:rRNA from 1 species